rnacentral:ncRNA from 1 species
AAAUCAAGACUUACACAUGCAGUCUCCGCACACCCGUGAGAACGCCCUCAUACCCACUUAGGAAUCAGGAGCUGAUAUCAGGCACAAUAAUUUGCCCAAAACAUCUAGCCAAGCCACACCCACACGGGCCCUCAGCAGUGAUUAAUAUUAAGAUUAAACGUAAGUUUGACUUAGUUAAUGAAAACAGAGCCGGCCAAUCUGGUGCCAGCCGCCGCGGUUACACCAAGUGGCUCAAAUUGAUGUUGCGCGGCGUAAAGCGUGAUUAAAGAAGGACCCCCCCCCCAUUCARACUAAACUUAAACUAAGCUGUAGUACGCUUGUUUUUAGGAAACCCACAUUUCGAAAGAUAUCUCAAUACACCAACUUGAAUUCACGAUAACUAGGACACAAACUGGGAUUAGAUACCCCACUAUGCCUAGUCGUAAACUUUAAAUUACACCCACAUCGCCCGGGAACUACAGCAAAGCUUAAAACCCAAAGGACUUGACGGUACCCCACACCCUUCUAGAGGAGCCUGUCCUAUAAUCGAUACUCCACGUUCAACCUCACCAUUUUUAGCCUUUCACCUAUAUACUUCCGUCGCCAGCUUACCGCGUGAGCGAUCUAGUAAGCUCAAUGUCCAAUCACCAGCACGUCAGGUCAAAGUGUAGCAAAUAAAAUGGGAAGAGAUGGGCUACACUCUCUAUUGUAGAAAACACGAAAAACUAUGUGAAAUCAUAGCUGGAAGGCGGAUUUAGUAGUAAAAAGAGAAUAGAAUACCCUUUUAACUCGGCACUGGGGUGUGUACACACCGCCCGUCACCCUCUUC